rfam:Halomicrobium mukohataei DSM 12286, complete genome.
GGGCCGGUAGCUCAGUCUGGCAGAGCGACGGCCUCUUAAGCCGUCGGUCGAGGGUUCAAAUCCCUUCCGGCCCG